UACCAGCACCCCGAGUGGUCGGGACGUUUUAUUGGGCCUAAAGCAUCCGUAGCCGGUUCUACAAGUCUUCCGUUAAAUCCACCUGCUUAACAGAUGGGCUGCGGAAGAUACUAUAGAGCUAGGAGGCGGGAGAGGCAAGCGGUACUCGAUGGGUAGGGGUAAAAUCCGUUGAUCCACUGAAGACCACCAGUGGCGAAGGCGGCUUGCCAGAAUGCGCUCGACGGUGAGGGAUGAAAGCUGGGGGAGCAAACCGG
rnacentral:rRNA from 1 species